rnacentral:rRNA from 1 species
UACGGAGGGUGCAAGCGUUGCUCGGAAUUAUUGGGCGUAAAGCGUCCGCAGGUGGCACUUCAAGUCUGUCGUCAAAGACUGGGGCUUAACCCUGGAAAGGCGGUGGAAACUGAAGCGCUAGAGUGCGGUAGGGGUAGAGGGAAUUCCCGGUGUAGCGGUGAAAUGCGUAGAGAUCGGGAAGAACAUCGGUGGCGAAAGCGCUCUACUGGGCCGCAACUGACACUCAGGGACGAAAGCUAGGGGAGCGAAUGGG